AACGUAGGUGGCGAGCGUUAUCCGGAUUUACUGGGCGUAAAGGGUGUGCAGGCGGGGUAUUAAGGGGGGGCUGAAAGGGCGCGGCUCAACCGCGCUAGGUUAUGCCAGACUGAUGCUCUUGAGGACCAAACAGGGCUGUGGAAUUCCGGGUGUAGUGGUGAAAUGCGUAGAUAUCGGGAGGAACACCAGUGGCGAAGGCGGCUUCCUGGCCUGUUCUUGACGCUGAGGCGCGAAAGCUAGGGGAGCAAACGGG
rnacentral:rRNA from 1 species